AGGAAAGCAAAGUAGGGUUACACAACCCGUUUGGGGGACGGGGCCUCUGAUUGCUUGAAGAGUGUUUUUCUGGCUAUUAGCCGUUGCGUUGUGAUCUUUUGUUGCAACGUUCAAAUUAUUUGAACAAUUUACGCAAAUAGGGUUUGGUGAAUUCCGCAACGGCUAGUACAACCUUUUUAAGCCACACCUUUUCUCGUCUCAUUCAUUCACCAACACAACCCCUCUUUGCAAGAAGGAAGAUUCAGAUUCAGAUCACUCUUUUCCUUCUUCUCCUUCUUUCUUUCUGCAACUCUUUUGUUAUUCAUUCAAUCAACACAAUAUGGCUGCCAAUAAUAACAUUCAUGGGAACACUGAAUUGUUUUGCGUUUACAGCCUCAUGCUUGAUUUGGUGAUCUCUUCUCCCUGGAUUCUGAUUUAUCAGAUUUUGCCUUUCGUUUCUACUUUUCAUUGGCCUGGGAAGAUAAGCAACGGAUGUGACCGGCAGGGAGGCUGUGGAAAAGCUGUGUGGCGGAAGAUUUCUGUGUGAAGCCUUAGGUUUUAUUACCCUUGCAUUCAUCAUUUUAUUGUUUGUUUGUUUUGGACUGGCUAUAUGCCUAUCCAGUUUAUUUUGGAAUUUGAUCUAGUUGUUUUCGGUGUAAGUAUAAUAACCCCUCUGUUAGUUUGGGAGUUCUUGUGUGGGUUUGCAACAGGAACAAUCAAAGUAAUUAUGCAUUUGGGGAUUGUUACAAUGUCACAGUAAGAAUUUGGGACAGUGUGAGUUGACUCUUUGAUUGGUUUGGAGAAACUCUACUGCUCCUUUUACUGUUUUCUUGAUAAUGGUGAUGUUCAUAUUGCAGUAUGCUGGAGUAUCAAUUUUGCAUUCAUUCUUGUUACAGAAGAUUAGAACUGCUAACAAGUAUAGAUAAUGUAAUUUUUCUUCGAUGGAAUCCCUUUGUUUUGUUUCUAGGUUCUGUCUGAAUUUGAUCAUAGGGGCAUAUGGAUUGAGUUGUUAACCUCUUUUUUCCUGGUGUAGUGUUUUGAAUGGUUUUGCAUUUUUACAGUCUCAUGCUUGAUUUGGUGGUCUCUACUCCCUUGAUUUGGGGACAUAUGGAUUGAGUUGUUAACCUCUUUUUUCCUGGUGUAGUGUUUUGAAUGGUUUUGCAUUUACAGUCUCAUGCUUGAUUUGGUGGUCUCUACUCCCUGGAUUCUGAUUUAUCAGAUUUUGCCUUUCGUUUCUACUUUUGGUAUGAGCUUUUCUUUAUUUACUUCUCCAUUAUUUUUUCUUUGAUCUCUCUCGGGAAGAUCAGUGAAUGGGUGGUGUGGGUUGUGUGGAAGCAGUGGCUGUCUUGUUACAUGAUUUGGUGUUCUCUACUCCGGAUUCUGAAUCUUGGAUUUGAUUUUUGCUUUUCAAUGGUUACUGAAAGCUUUAUUUAUCUCUGCAAUUAUGGGUCAAUGUGUUCUUUCAUCUUUGGAAAUUAUUUCUCUCGGUUCUAUUUUUCUUUUUCCAUUAAGUGUAUUGUUAUGCUUCUUGCUUGUUCCUAUCUUAAUCGAGUUUGUGUUUUUCCGAUUGAUACACAUUUAUUGGAAUUGAAGAUCUUAAGAAAUUGAUAGUCUAGUGACUUUUUACAUCAAUUAUUUGAAUUAUAGAGCAUCAUUCUUCAUUUUGUCA